UGCGCAGGCGGGCUUGUAAGUCAGUGGUGAAAUCUUGCCGCUUAACGGUAAAAUUGCCAUUGAUACUGCGAGUCUUGAAUAUGGUUGAGGUAGGCGGAAUGUGUUGUGUAGCGGUGAAAUGCAUAGAUAUGACACAGAACGCCGAUUGCGAAGGCAGCUUACUAAGCCAUGAUUGACGCUGAGGCACGAAAGCGUGGGGAGCGAACA
rnacentral:rRNA from 1 species